UUCAUUCAAGGUAGUUUAACACCUUCUAUAUUUUUUCCUUUAUACAAAUUUUACCUUUUCUAACAUCUCGCUUCCAGUCUCACCUUCAUUGGCAUCAAUUGAUCAUGUUGCAGUGAUUUCUACUCAACUUUUUCAUCACCAAACUUGGAAGGUAGUAUCAGAUUUAUUUGUGUAAAACGGGAUUCAUAUGUUGAUUCCGCACUUGAUUUGAUUGGAUUUCAACACGACCUCCAUCUUAGAUUUUGUCCUACUUAAUCUCCAUUUUN
rnacentral:lncRNA from 1 species